CUGAGUCUGAAAAUAUGAACUGGUAAGUAACGUGAGCUAGGAUCUAGUUUUGUUCCUCUUUAGUUAUAUCAUUUUCUUUAAACAGGGGAGGUUAAGACAAGGUGAUAUAAAUUAGUGAACAACUGAAAAAGGAAAUCAUUUUUAGGGCCUUAUUGGACUAGAAUAAUCAAUGCAUAACUAAACAGCAUGGCCAGACGUUUCU
rnacentral:misc_RNA from 1 species